AGUCUAAAAGUGAAAAACAAUGUUAUCACCCGAUUUAAAGAGUUGAAAGAGUCUUGUUUGAAGUUGUGUAGGGUUGAAUAAUUAUAGUUGUGAUAUUUCAUUCAAAAGUUGACAGAAAAUGGAAAAAGAAAAAAAAUAGAAAAAUAAGAAAAAAAAUGAAAAAAGAAAAGGAUGACAAUACAUACUCUUUAUGGUAAAAAAGAAUAAAAAAAGAAAAGAGAAGAGAAAU
rnacentral:lncRNA from 1 species